AAGGAGCUCACAGUCUAUUGAGUUACCUUUCUGACCUUCCCACUAGAUUGUGAGCUCCUGGA
rnacentral:pre_miRNA from 1 species